CCUACGGGUGGCAGCAGUGGGGGAUAUUGCACAAUGGGGGAAACCCUGAUGCAGCGACGCCGCGUGAGUGAAGAAGUAUUUCGGUAUGUAAAGCUCUAUCAGCAGGGAAGAAAAUGACAGUACCUGACCAAGAAGCCCCGGCUAACUACGUGCCAGCAGCCGCGGUAAUACGUAGGGGGCAAGCGUUAUCCGGAUUUACUGGGUGUAAAGGGAGCGUAGACGGUUAUGUAAGUCUGGAGUGAAAGCCCGGGGCCCAACCCCGGGACUGCUCUGGAAACUGUAAAGCUGGAGUGCAGGAGAGGUAAGCGGAAUUCCUAGUGUAGCGGUGAAAUGCGUAGAUAUUAGGAGGAACACCAGUGGCGAAGGCGGCUUACUGGACUGCAACUGACGUUGAGGCUCGAAAGCGUGGGGAGCAAACAGGAUUAGAUACCCGGGUAGUC
rnacentral:rRNA from 1 species